rfam:Haliaeetus albicilla contig86107, whole genome shotgun sequence.
UGAACGGCUCCACUCGGAGCCACAAGCAAUACCAAGCUGUUAAUG